UGGGGAAUUUUGGACAAUGGGCGAAAGCCUGAUCCAGCAAUGCCGCGUGUAGGAUGAAGGCCCUCGGGUUGUAAACUACUUUUGUACGGAACGAAAAGACUCUUUCUAAUAAAGAGGGUCCAUGACGGUACCGUAAGAAUAAGCACCGGCUAACUACGUGCCAGCAGCCGCGGUAAUACGUAGGGUGCAAGCGUUAAUCGGAAUUACUGGGCGUAAAGCGUGCGCAGGCGGUUAUGUAAGACAGAUGUGAAAUCCCCGGGCUCAACCUGGGACCUGCAUUUGUGACUGCAUAGCUGGAGUACGGUAGAGGGGGAUGGAAUUCCGCGUGUAGCAGUGAAAUGCGUAGAUAUGCGGAGGAACACCGAUGGCGAAGGCAAUCCCCUGGACCUGUACUGACGCUCAUGCACGAAAGCGUGGGGAGCAAACA
rnacentral:rRNA from 1 species